ensembl:snoRNA
UGGCGUGAUGAGAACCCAGAAUAGGAAGUGCCGUCAGACCGACAACUGACGAUAGCCUGAGCUGGUGUCUGACC